rnacentral:rRNA from 1 species
UACGUAGGUGGCGAGCGUUGUCCGGAUUUACUGGGCGUAAAGGGAGCGUAGGCGGACUUUUAAGUGAGAUGUGAAAUACUCGGGCUCAACUUGAGUGCUGCAUUUCAAACUGGAAGUCUAGAAUGCAGGAGAGGAGAAUGGAAUUCCUAGUGUAGCGGUGAAAUGCGUAGAGAUUAGGAAGAACACCAGUGGCGAAGGCGAUUCUCUGGACUGUAACUGACGCUGAGGCUCGAAAGCGUGGGGAGCAAACAGG